AUUUGGAGAGGAUGCUUUUGGCGCGGCGCCGUCCGAGUUCCUUGGAACAGGACGCCAUAGAGGGUGAGAGCCCCGUACGGGCGGCCGCCUAGCCUUUGUAAAGCUCCUUCGACGAGUCGAGUAGUUUGGGAAUGCUGCUCAAAAUGGGAGGUAAAUUUCUUCUAAAGCUAAAUACCGGCCAGAGACCGAUAGCGCACAAGUAGAGUGAUCGAAAGAUGAAAAGCACUUUGAAAAGAGGGUUAAAAAGUACGUGAAAUUGUUGAAAGGGAAGCGCCUGUGACCAGACUUGCGACCCGUGGAUCAUCCGGUGUUCUUCACCGGUGCACUCCGCGGGCUGCAGGCCAGCAUCGGCUUUCCUAGGGGGUUAAAGGUCGCAGGAACGUAGCUCUUUCGGGAGUGUUAUAGCCUGUGGCGUCAUGCCUCUGGGGAGACCGAG
rnacentral:rRNA from 1 species